rnacentral:rRNA from 1 species
AGUGAACGCUGGCGGUAGGCCUAACACAUGCAAGUCGAACGACCACACAGUAAGAUCUUGCUCUUACGGGUGGCGAGUGGCGGGCGGGUGACGCAUACAUAGGCUUCUACUUUUUCGUGGGGGAUAACGUAAGGAAACUUACACUACUACAGCAUACAACCUACGGGUGAAAUCAAGAGAUCUUCGGACCUUUCCCGAUUGAUUGAGCCGAUGUCGGAUUAGCUAGUUGGCGGGGUAAAGGCCCACCAAGGCAACGAUCCGUAGCUGAUCUGAGAGGAUGAUCAGCCACACUGGAACUGAGACACGGUCCAGACUCCUACGGGAGGCAGCAGUGGGGAAUAUUGGACAAUGGGCGCAAGCCUGAUCGAGCCGUACCGCGUGGGUGAAGAAGGUCUUCGGGUUGUAAAGCCCUUUUGUUGGGAAAGAAAAGAAGUAUGUUAAUAUACGGCCGUUCUGACGGUACCUAAAGAAUAAGCACCGGCUAACUUCGUG